GCGCAGCUCCGGAUCCCGCUCCUCUUGGCGCGAGGUCUUCUAGGGCCCGGCCCGGGCGCGCUGUUCGGGUUUAGGCGGGCCUUCUUCCCUGUGCUGACCCGGGCCUGUGCCAAGCGGCAUCUCUCGGGCCUCCCUCUCUUUGUCACCCCUUCCCCCGCCACGUGAAGGUGUCUCAGCCGCCCGAGCUCAGCCUGCCUGCGCCUGGAUUUUUAAGACGGGGACACCAAGGACAGAAGCCGCCCCCUAGGAUGACGCGCCCGGGCCACGGGGAGAGUCUGAACGGCGGGGACCUCUUGGAGCGCCUUCAGCGCCUCGUGUUUUCUUUCCUUGGGUCCCUGUUACCGUCGCUGCAGGCACAGCGCUCCCUGUCAUUUGGUCCCUGAGCUUGGGUGUUUUUCACAUCUCAUCUAAAGAUGCAGACCCCUGCUAAGUCUAGCCAGCCUUCACCCUGAAUCUGGAACUUAAGAUGCUGCAUUUUCCACCCACCCCCGCCCCUCUAGUAGCUGCAAAUUGCCAAGCGGCUUUUCCCAACCAGAUGACAUUUUGGCUGCAAGAAUCCGUGGCCCGUUCUUGCCUCUGUGCAGCCAAGCUCCUUCGCUUUCUCUGACUGCAGUCCCGGGUCCAGCUUCGCUCAGCAGUGACCAUCCCAGAGGAACGCGAGAACAACCUAAUACAUCUCUCAUCAGGGUGACUGCAGUGACUUGUCUCCCUUCUUCCACUCUGAUACACAGCAGCCAAGAUUUCAGAUCCUCUGAAAAUCCACACAAUGACCUUAUGAAAUAGGUGUUAUUGACCCAACUCAAAAGACAUAAAAACAAGCUCAUAGUUUAAGAAACCAAGAAGUGACACAGCUGGAAGCCAAGCCUCAAACCUGGCCCUGGUCUCUCUUAUUAAAAAAAAAACAACUAUUUAUUCAAAGGGUCCUAAGAGACUUUUCUCUAAAGAAGAUACACAGAUGGCCAACAAGCAUAUGCCAAGAUGCUCAACAUCAUUAGUCAACAUCAUUUCCCAUAAGGGAAAUUCAAAUCAAACCACAGUGAGAUACUACUGCACACCCACCUGGAUGGCCAGAAUCAGAAAGG